rnacentral:rRNA from 1 species
UACGAAGGGGGCGAGCGUUGUUCGGAUUUACUGGGCGUAAAGGGCGCGUAGGCGGCGGGUCAAGUCGAGUGUGAAAGCCCCGGGCUCAACCUGGGAAUUGCGCUCGAGACUGGUCUGCUUGAGUUCGGGAGAGGAGAGUGGAAUUCCCAGUGUAGAGGUGAAAUUCGUAGAUAUUGGGAAGAACACCGGUGGCGAAGGCGGCUCGCUGGACCGAGACUGACGCUGAGGCGCGAAAGCGUGGGGAGCAAACAGG